rnacentral:misc_RNA from 1 species
AACGCAUAUUGCGCUCUUUGGUAUUCCGAAGAGCAUGCUUGUUUGAGUAUCAGUAAACACCUCAGCCAGAUUCUUUUUCUGGAUGGACUUGAGCAAACCCAACGUGGCCUCAGGCGGCGGCGGGUUGCUUAAAAUGCAGGUGCAGCUGUGACAAGAACAGACUGAGCUAAAAGCAUAUCUAAUUUAGUCCGCCUGGCGGAUUAUCUCUAUUUGCUGCAGUUCAACCAAAAGUCGUCUUGUCGGGCUGACUGAUGCAGGAUUUGUCAGACUUUCUUUCUCUCUCUGAGAGAAGGGCUUCUUUCAAAACUCGAUCUCAAAUCAAGUAAGACUACCCGCUGAACUUAA